AACGAACGCUGGCGGCAGGCCUAACACAUGCAAGUCGAACGCCCCGCAAGGGGAGUGGCAGACGGGUGAGUAACGCGUGGGAACCUUCCCUUUGGUACGGAAUAAUUCACCGAAAGGUGGACUAAUACCGCAUACGCCCGAGAGGGGAAAGAUUUAUCGCCAAAGGAUGGGCCCGCGUUGGAUUAGCUAGUUGGUGAGGUAACGGCUCACCAAGGCGACGAUCCAUAGCUGGUCUGAGAGGAUGAUCAGCCACACUGGGACUGAGACACGGCCCAGACUCCUACGGAGGCAGCAGUGGGGAAUAUUGGACAAU
rnacentral:rRNA from 1 species